rnacentral:misc_RNA from 1 species
CCUUUUUUUUCUCGUUUUCUGUUUGUUGUUGCCUCUGCACAUUUUCUACGAUUCGUAGGAAACUCUACGUGCGUGUGUGCGUGUAAGCGGAACGCAUUCUUCGCGGUCAGCCGAUGUAGCGAGGCUAGCCGUCGAUGUGCCUUAAGACUAAGGCUGCUGCCUGAUGCCGCUUCCAGCUAUCUUCAAAAUACUUCGCUCAAGUAAAAACGAAAGCGAGCAAGGAAACACGCCAAUACGCGUGCAUCACAGGGAUAAGAAUGUGCGUGUUCUGAGGGAAUCGAACACCACUCGCCUGCACACUUACCGAACCUGUUCAGUGAAGGGGUCACACAUUGAAAGAAACGAGACUAGGCAGUUUCUUAGUUGUGUGUGUGUGUUUGCCUGUCAUGAGUGGUGUGAACUGCCGCUUGGUUCCGGCUAUGAGCUCAAACGUUUGUUUUGGAAGUUGCAUCUGAAUCGAAGACUGUGUUGGUGCUCUUCUCCCUUUCUCGUCUUUAUCUGCCCUCUGCUUGUCUGCUUCUGGCUCUGCAUCAG